rnacentral:rRNA from 1 species
CAGCCGCCGCGGGAAUACAGAGGGUGCGAGCGUUAAUCGGAUUUACUGGGCGUAAAGCGUGCGUAGGCGGCUUUUUAAGUAGGAUGUGAAAUCCCUGAGCUUAACUUAGGAAUUGCAUUCGAUACUGGGAAGCUAGAGUAUGGGAGAGGAUGGUAGAAUUCCAGGUGUAGCGGUGAAAUGCGUAGAGAUCUGGAGGAAUACCGAUGGCGAAGGCAGCCAUCUGGCCUAAUACUGACGCUGAGGUACGAAAGCAUGGGGAGCAAACAGGAUUAGAUACCCCCGUAGUCCCUGUCUCUUAUAC